CCCCUCUCAGGAUCACACCUGGAGAGUUUUCAGUACACUACCAGUCUCGGCUUCAGGAAGGAGAGUCAAGCAGAGUCAUACCCAUUCCAUUCCUAGCUUGGGCAGUGGCUAUUGAGUGGAAGGCAAUCUGCUAUAAGU